rnacentral:lncRNA from 1 species
AUAGUCAAUUUAUAUUUUGUGGAAUAAAUGACUAGUGACCCCGUCCAUGUUGCUACCUACAAGGGUAUAUGAAUGACCUAGCCUAGACUUACUCAAGAAAGUAUGAGCUAGAUAUUCAAUUUAGAAGUCCCUAAUAACAUUUCCAAAAUGGAAAUCAUGUACCACGGGGAAUUUCUAUAUGUGCAUUUCAUAUUUCCUCCACCUUCUGUGUGGUUAGAAUAAAACCAUCUAUUAGUUCAUGGAAUGUUGUCGUGACAUAUUUCUUUAUAAAUGUCCAAGUAUUACAAGAUCAGUUGGAUCAGACAUAACACUAGCAGGGAGUCCUGGACAUUGUGAUGAAACCAAGAAAUAUAAAACAUGAAGUGCAACCAAAAGAUGCCCAAAAAUCACGACAAUUUACACUUAUAACCAUGACAAAAAGAAAAUAUCAUGAUACUAUAUUCAAUAAUAAAUGGUCAGUUAUUCUUCUUGGAUGGUGUGUCUUUGUAUUAAAUGGCAUAAUAUAACACAAUGGGAAGGAAUACAGUGGAAAAGGUGGUGUAUAGUUCCCUUGAAUCGCUGAAUCACAUAUACUUGUAACGAAUUGUCAAAACUUCAUUGAUAUUUAUCAUCACGUCAACUAUCUUGCUCGAUGAAUUUAUGAAUUUUUAAGAUAAAGCUAUUCUAGGAAUUCUAAUUGCAUGACUAACAGAUUAAGAAUUCAAUCAAUGCUACAUGAGAGAGAUCCCACAUGAAAUAUAUUCAUAAUAAGGUUAGUUUGAGUUAAUCUUUGAUAAGGUCAAAGAAGUGAUGUUGGCCUCAAACGAGGGAACCCCACCACUCAUGCCUUUGUCUUCUUAAAUGGUGCCGUAAGACAUUUUUCUUUCACAAGAGACAUCCACACAAUAUUAAAUUUUGAUUUUUCCACUCUUAGUUUCAAUGGUACUUGGAAUAUGUGUAUCCUACAUUUCAUAGUAACUUAGCAACAUGUAACUCGCUCAUACAUUUUCAUAGGCGUUUCCAAGAAAAAGAGCAUCCAUAUAGUUAGGUAAAGAACAAUUCUCUACUGAUAUAAUUCUAUGCGAG